ensembl:lncRNA
CGGUCGUUAAGGGCCGUUGGAGGGAGGAGAGCCGGUGGGGCUAUAGAACCUUCCAGAGCGGCGGCGACGCGGCGUGGAUUGGGGAGUGUUGAAGUGAGUCUGCCAUUUUAAUGAUUAAAUGGUCCUGAUGUGGUGGAGAGUGUCUGUGCUGGUUCUGCUGUUGAGAAAUACAGAUACUGGUGAGUUAUGCAAUGUGAGCUGAGAGUUUGGUGUGAACGUCUGAUUUUUUUUCUAACGUGGUCGUUUGAAGUUUGAUGUCUUCCUGACAACUUUACUUGGCUCUUCAUAGCAAUUUUCAUGUCUUGAAAAUAUGCAGGGGUUAGGUGGGGGAUGCUGGAUCAUGUUCUUUGAUAAGGGCCUGGGAUUCCUCUAGCAACAAGGACUCCUUUGUUACAGGCUGAUCUUGUGCUACCUUGGUGUGGGAGUGGUGAAGUCUGAAAUGGAUGGUGUCACUAAAUUAGUGACCACAUCAGAACUUCUCCAAUCUGCAUCGCUUCCAGACAAAUUAAGCUAUGUGUCAAGGCAAGGUCAUUUGGUGAUCGUGAGAAGCCAGUUAAUAUUAUUCUUAGACCACAAGGAAUUUCCACUUACUGUAAAGCUGUCAGGCUGUUCCUCUUCGCCCGUCAGUGGGGCUGCAGCUUUGCCACUGGACACACAGAGAACACUGCAGCAGUGUGUUGGGUGAUGAUACAGACCAUUAGCAGCAGCGUGCUGCUUGUGUGAGUUUCUGCAGGAGCAGCCUGGGUGUGGGACAGCUGUAAAGUGCUUUGUCAGGUUAAUGAGCAUAACGAAUUAAGGUUUGCAGGAAACAUUUACUGUUAGCAGUCUAGCCACAUGUUCACUCACCAUCUCAUAGAGGCCCGGAGUGCCAGCAGGUGAAUGUAACAACACGUUGAGUCUUACCAUCCUAGAAGGAAGGGUACCAGCUGCUCAGCAGAGCAGCAGAAGUGUAGCAGGUUUGGUGUGUGCAGGUUUUCUGAUGAUGUAUCCAGUCAUUGAGAAAGCCAUCAAACACACUUUGUGUUGCUCUGUAGAGUGCUGGGAGCAGUUCUGAGCACAGCAGGAAAAUAAUGAAGACCUGUCAGAAAGCUGCAUUCUUGGGCAGUGUUUCCAGUGGGCAGCGUCACCUGACUGGGAGCUGUGACGUGCGUGGUCCAGAGGUG